rnacentral:rRNA from 1 species
UACGUAGGCAGCAAGCGUUGUUCGGAUUUACUGGGCGUAAAGAGUGCGUAGGCGGUGCUCUAAGUUUGGUGUGAAAUCUCCCGGCUCAACUGGGAGGGUGCGCCGAAAACUGGAGUGCUUGAGUAUGGGAGAGGCAAGCGGAAUUCCUGGUGUAGCGGUGAAAUGCGUAGAUAUCAGGAGGAACACCUGUGGUGUAGACAGCUUGCUGGACCAUCACUGACGCUGAGGCACGAAAGCGUGGGUAGCAAACAGG